UUUAGUUACAAGUGCAGUUGGAGUGCAUUUAACUUUGUAACAGGAUGAGAACAAGAGAGAAUAUCCAAAAGUGUAAGAAGAGAAGGAUCAACAAGUGCGUCAGGAAGGUCUCAACUCUCAGAUCAGUUCAGGUGCAAGGCAUUUUGACAUGGUUGAAUGGCGUUGAUUUUAAUGCUGCAAGUUUGAUGAACAAGGCAGUAUUCACAUGUACCAAUAGGGCAAUACUUUGGAUGUAUUCUGUUUUGACGCCAGCAAGGCUUUUCAGAAGGUCCCACAUGGGAGACUAAUACAAAGUAUUCACCAUGACACAAUCCUGGAUUGCUGGGGAUUUUGGUUGCAAGACAAUUUCACCGAAUGAUGCUCUCUCCACAGUUAGACCUCAAAAGACAGCUUCUAAAGCAUGGUGCUGCAAAUCAUGAAGAAAGGAAAUGGAAUUUUGGGCUUAAUUGCCAACUAAUUUACUGUCCCUUAAAUCCUGCCCAUCUCUGAUAGAACAUCCUAGAUGGCCGCGUUCUUCAAGGACCGCAACUUCACUCCCGCAGUGCUCGAGAGCGCCCUUGACCGUGUCUCCCUCAUUUUCCGCAACACAUCCCUAACACCCCGCCCCUGCGAUAACCACCCUAAGAGAAUCCCCCUCGUCCUCACGUACCACCCCACCAACCUCCGGAUACAGUGCAUCAUCCUCCAACACUUCCGCCAUCUACAAUCCGAUCCCACCACCCAAGACAUUUUUCCAUCCCCACCCUUGUCUGCUUUCCGGAGAGACCACUCUCUCCGUGACUCCCUUGUCCGCUCCACACUCCUCUCCAACCCCACCACACCCGGCACCUUCCCCUGCAACAGCAGGAAGUGCUACACUUGCCUCCACACCUCCUCCCUCACCCCCAUCCCAGGCCCCAAGAUUACUUUCCAUAUUAAGCAGAUGUUCACCGACACAUCUGCCAAUGUAGUAUACUGUAUCCACUGUACCCGGUGUGGCUUCCUCUACAUUGGGGAAACCAAGCGGAGGUUUGGGGACUGCUUUGCAGAACACCUCCACUCGGUUCGCAAUAAACAACUGCACCUCCCAGUCGUGAACCAUUUUAACUCCCCCUCCCAUUCCUGAGACGACAUGUCCAUCAUGGGCCUCCUGCAGUGCCACAAUGAUGCCACCCGAAGGUCGCAAGAACAGCAACUCAUAUUCUGCAGCCCAAUGGUAUCAAUGUGGACUUCACAAGCUUCAAAAUCUUUCCCUCCCCACUGCAUCCCAAAACCAUUCCAGCUCAUCCCCGCCUCUCUAACCUGUUCUUCCUCUCACCUAUCCCCUCCUCCUACCUCAAGCCGCACCUCCAUUUCCCACCUACUAACCUCACCCCACCUCCUUGACCUGUCCGUCCUCCCGGAAUGACCUAUCCCCUCUCCACCUCCCCACCUAUACUCUCCUCUCCACCUAUCUUCUCUAUCCAUCUUCAGUCCCCCUCCCCCUCUCUCCCUAUUUAUUCCAGAACCCUCUCCCCAUCCCCCUCUCUGAUGACGGGUCGAGACCCGAAACGUCAGCUUUUGUGCUCCUGAGAUGCUGCUUGGCCUGCUGUGUUCAUCCAGCUUCACACUUUGUUAUCUUGGAUUCUCCAGCGUCUGCAGUUCCCAUUAUCUCUGAGGAAAGAGGCCACUCUUUUAGACAGGCAAAUAAAUGGGUGAAGCUGAGAGAGCAAAGAAUGACAAUAAAUUUAAGAUAUAUAUGUGAACCAAAAUUUCCAAAGUAUGCUUCCUCCCUGGAUUGAUUUGCAUGUCCAUAAGGUUCCCUCACCGACUUCUACAGAUGCACCAGUGAAAGCACACUUUCCGGGUGCAUGACAGCCUGAUAUGGCAACUGCUCUGCCCGGAAUAGUAAGGAGCUACAGAAGGUAUGGAGAGCCCAAACUGUCAUGGAGACCAACCUUCCAACCAUGGAUAACACAGUGCGGAGCUGGACGAACACAGCAGGCCAGGCAGCAUCAGAGGAGCAGGAAAGUUGAUGUUUUGGUGGGCUCAAUUUACUCGGCUUGCUGCCACAGAAAGUCUGCCAGCAUCAUCAACGACCUGUCACACCCCGGGAAUGAUCUCCUGGAACCUCUUCAGUCAGGCAGAAGGUAUGGAAGCCUAAACACAUGCACGAGCAUGGUUCAGGGACAACUUCUUCAUGGGCAUUGUCAGACUGAAGAAUGGACUCUGUAGUUUCAAAUAAUGCUGAUCUUGCUAACUUUGAUCUCCUGCUCUGUGCAAUGUAACUUGUAUGGCUGUAAGGCUACCUCCCCACCUAUACUCUCCUCUCCACCUAUCUUCUUUUCUCUCCAUCUUUGGUCCGCCCCUCCCUCUCUCCCUAUUUAUUCCAGUUUCGUCUUCCCAUCCCCCUCUCUGAUGAAGGGUCUAGGCCCGAAACAUCAGCUUUUGUGCUCCUGAGAUGCUGCUUGGCCUGCUGUGUUCAUCCAACUCCACACUUUGUUUCUUGGCUGUAAGGCUUUUUGAUUUCAACAUCCUUUGCUUACUGCGAUCUGCCUGAACCACUUGUAAACAAAGCUUUUCACUGUAUUUCAGUGCAUGUGACAAUAUAUUACUCAAUCAAUCCUCUCUCUUCAGUCGCUGCACAUGAACAGUCUUCACCCAUCCCUCCCCGGAUGAGAAAAGAAAUGGAAAUGGGGAGAUAUUGCUUUUCCCCCAGAUGUUGCUCAGAGAAGGAAAUCUGAUCCUGAAGACAACGUCUGCUUUAUAAAGUUCAUAGUGAAGGGUUGGGGCUUGCCCAAAGUAGACAGUAGGAAUUGCUGAGCUUGUCAGGGAUGCCCUCAGGAUCCAGUCUGCAGGCCAGAUGCACUGACAUGAGAGACCCGCCUCAACACAUUUUUCCCCAUGCUCAUCCUGGAGCUAAGGUUUCUAGAGCAACCGGCUGCUGGCUCAGGCCAGAGCGAAAAGCCACUUGGGGUGCUGCAUCUCCGCCUUUCUCCGGAGGCUGCUGCUCCAAAAAGAUACAGAUUGAGCUUGACCACUGGCGGCUGCCAUGGUGGGACUGCACUGCACUUGCAUGGC